rnacentral:rRNA from 1 species
AUUGAACGCUGGCGGCAUGCCUUACACAUGCAAGUCGAACGGUAACGCGGGGCAACCUGGCGACGAGUGGCGAACGGGUGAGUAAUGCAUCGGAACGUGCCCAGUAGUGGGGGAUAGCCCGGCGAAAGCCGGAUUAAUACCGCAUACGACCUACGGGUGAAAGGGGGGGAUCGCAAGACCUCUCGCUAUUGGAGCGGCCGAUGUCAGAUUAGGUAGUUGGUGGGGUAAAGGCCUACCAAGCCGACGAUCUGUAGCUGGUCUGAGAGGACGACCAGCCACACUGGGACUGAGACACGGCCCAGACUCCUACGGGAGGCAGCAGUGGGGAAUUUUGGACAAUGGGCGCAAGCCUGAUCCAGCCAUGCCGCGUGCGGGAAGAAGGCCUUCGGGUUGUAAACCGCUUUUGUCAGGGAAGAAACGCUCUGGGCUAAUACCCCGGGGUAAUGACGGUACCUGAAGAAUAAGCACCGGCUAACUACGUGCCAGCAGCCGCGGUAAUACGUAGGGUGCAAGCGUUAAUCGGAAUUACUGGGCGUAAAGCGUGCGCAGGCGGUCUUGCAAGACAGAUGUGAAAUCCCCGGGCUCAACCUGGGAACUGCAUUUGUGACUGCAAGGCUGGAGUGCGGCAGAGGGGGAUGGAAUUCCGCGUGUAGCAGUGAAAUGCGUAGAUAUGCGGAGGAACACCGAUGGCGAAGGCAAUCCCCUGGGCCUGCACUGACGCUCAUGCACGAAAGCGUGGGGAGCAAAC